CCUACGGGGGGCUGCAGUGGGGAAUUUUGGACAAUGGGGGCAACCCUGAUCCAGCCAUGCCGCGUGCGGGAAGAAGGCCUUCGGGUUGUAAACCGCUUUCGGCCGGAACGAAAUCGCCGGUGAGAACAUCCCCGGUGGAUGACGGUACCGGAAGAAGAAGAACCGGCUAACUACGUGCCAGCAGCCGCGGUAAUACGUAGGGUGCGAACGUUAAUCGGAAUUACUGGGCGCGGUGCGUGCAGAGACGGGUGAAAUCCCCGGGCUUAACCUGGGAACUGCGUUUGUGACUGGCGGGCUGGAGUGCGGAAGAGGGAGGUGGAAUUCCACGUGUAGCAGGGAAAUGCGUAGAGAUGUGGAGGAACACCGAUGGCGAAGGCAGCCUCCUGGUCUAGCACUGACGCUCAUGCACGAAAGCGUGGGGAGCAAACAGGAUUAGAUACCCGUGUAGUC
rnacentral:rRNA from 1 species